rnacentral:rRNA from 1 species
AACGUACGCUGGCGGCACGCCUAACACAUGCAAGUCGAACGCAGUAGCAAUACUGAGUGGCAGACGGGUGAGUAACAUGUGGGAAUCUGCCUUGUGGUUCAGGACAACAUUGGGAAACCGAUGCUAAUACUGGACAAGCCCUUACGGGGAAAGUUUUAAUGCCAUAAGAUGAGCCCGCAUUUGAUUAGUUAGUUGGUGAGGUAAUGGCUCACCAAGACAAUGAUCAAUAGCUGAUCUGAGAGGAUGAUCAGCCACACUGGGACUGAGACACGGCCCAGACUCCUACGGGAGGCAGCAGUGGGGAAUCUUGCACAAUGGAGGAAACUCUGAUGCAGCGAUGCCGCGUGAGUGAAGAAGGCCUUUGGGUUGUAAAGCUCUUUUGUAGGGGAAGAUAAUGACUGUACCCUAAGAAUAAGGUCCGGCUAACUUCGUGCCAGCAGCCGCGGUAA